AGUGAACGCUGGCGGUAGGCCUAACACAUGCAAGUCGAACGGCAGCACAGUAAGAGCUUGCUCUUACGGGUGGCGAGUGGCGGACGGGUGAGGAAUACAUCGGAAUCUACUUUUUCGUGGGGGAUAACGUAGGGAACUUAUGCUAAUAACGCAUACGACCUACGGGUUGAAGUAGGGGAUUUUUGGACCUUGCGGGAUUGAAUGAGCCGAUGUCGGAUUAGCUAGUUGGCGGGGGAAAGGCCCACCAAGGCGACGAUCCGUAGCUGGUCUGAGAGGAUGAUCAGCCACACUGGAACUGAGACACGGUCCAGACUCCUACGGGAGGCAGCAGUGGGGAAUAUUGGACAAUGGGCGCAAGCCUGAUCCAGCCAUACCGCGUGGGUGAAGAGGGCCUUCGGGUUGUAAAGCCCUUUUGUUGGGAAAGAAAAGCAGCAGGUUAAUACCCCGCUGUUCUGACGGUACCCAAAGAAUAAGCACCGGCUAACUUCGUG
rnacentral:rRNA from 1 species